rnacentral:tRNA from 1 species
CAGUGAGUAGUUUAAGUGAAAAUUCUAGUUUUGGAGACUAGGGAUAUAAUUUUUCACUGA